AUGGUUAAGCUAAGAAGAGCGUAGGGAGAAUGCCUUGGCAUUAGGAGCCGACGAAGGACGUGAUAAGCUGCGAUAAGCUGCGGGGAUCAGCAAGUAUGAAUUGAUCCGCAGAUUUCCGAAUGGAGCAAUCCGUAUGUGUAUGCACAUACAUCAUAUACUGAAUCAAAUAGGUAUAUGAGGGGAACCGCCUGAACUGAAACAUCUAAGUAGGGCGAGGAAGAGAAAUCAACCGAGAUUCUGUGAGUAGUGGCGAGCGAAAGCGGAAGAGGCUAAACCAUAGGUAGCAAUACUUAUGGGGUUUCGGACAGCAUUUAGCAUUGAUAAUUUCUAGUUGAAACGUGUGGGAAAACGUACCGAAGAGUGUGAGAGUCACGUAAGCGAAAGAGAGAAUCAGCGAGCUGUAUCCAAAGUACCGCGGGACACGUGAAACCCCGUGGGAAGAUGGGGGGACCAUCCUCCAAGCCUAAAUACUACCUAAUGACCGAUAGCGAAUAGUACUGUGAAGGAACGGUGAAAAGAACCCCGGGAGGGGAGUGAAAAAGAACCUGAAACCCUAUGCUUACAAGCACCGAGAGCACGUCAAAGUGUGAUCGGGUACCUUUUGUAGAAUGGUC
rnacentral:rRNA from 2 species